rnacentral:rRNA from 1 species
UACGUAGGGUGCAAGCGUUGUCCGGAAUUAUUGGGCGUAAAGAGCUCGUAGGCGGCUUGUUGCGUCGGCUGUGAAAACCCGCAGCUCAACUGUGGGCUUGCAGCCGAUACGGGCAGGCUUGAGUUCGGUAGGGGAGACUGGAAUUCCUGGUGUAGCGGUGAAAUGCGCAGAUAUCAGGAGGAACACCGGUGGCGAAGGCGGGUCGCUGGGCCGAUACUGACGCUGAGGAGCGAAAGCGUGGGGAGCGAACAGG